rnacentral:rRNA from 1 species
GAAAUCUAUAUUAAAAUAUAAAUACUUUUUCACGAAAUUAGAUGAGCUAGAUGUAUUUAAAUUUUAGUCUAACAAAAAUUAACGUAGUAUAGUUAACUGGUAAAAUACAUUUAGGGGUGAUAGGCUUAUCAAAUCUACUGAUAUCUUGAUAAUUAGGAAAUAUAUAUAGUAUAUUUGACAAUAUAGGAAUGGUGAGGUUCUUAUAUAACAUAAAUAUAGAAUACUUAAUUUUGGUCGUUUUAAAAUACUCCAAGUAGAAUUUAAAAAUAUUUUUUACUAUGUUAUGUAUGUAAAGUACUAACUUUUUAUUAGGUAAAUGUUUCUAACAUAAAAAAUGAUUUCAUUAGUAUUGAAGUAAAUAUGUGUUAGGAAUUCGGCAAAACCAUAUUCUCGACUGUUUAUCAAAAACAUAGUUUUAAGAAUUUUAUUUAAAAUAAAACCUGCUCAAUGAUACAUUAAAUAGCCGCAGUACCUUGACUGUGCAAAGGUAGCAUAAUCAGUUGGCUUAUAAUUGAAGUCUAGUAUGAAAGGGAAUCCGGGGAUAUGCUGUCUUACAAAUUAAAAUAGAAAUUACUUAUUAAGUGAAAAUUCUUAAAAAAAAGAAAAAAGACGAGAAGACCCUAGAAAUUUUUUAAAAAUGUCCUAAUUUAAUUUUGUUGGGGCGACAAGGUAACAUUAUUUAACUUACCUGUUUAAUAGGGAACUAUUUAGUAGUAUAUAUAAAUUACUCUAGGGAUAACAGCAUAAUAUUUUAAAGAUUGUGACCUCGAUGUUGGACUAGGAAAAUUAUACCUUAAAAGGGUAUUUGAAACGCUCUGUUCGAGCAAUUAAUCCUACAUGAUCUGAGUUCAGACCGG